rnacentral:rRNA from 1 species
GACGUAGGGCGCGAGCGUUGUCCGGAAUUAUUGGGCGUAAAGAGCUCGUAGGCGGCUUGUCGCGUCGUUCGUGAAAUCCCGGGGCUCAACCCCGGGCCUGCAGUGGAUACGGGCUGGCUAGAGGCAGGCAGGGGAGAACGGAAUUCCUGGUGUAGCGGUGAAAUGCGCAGAUAUCAGGAGGAACACCGGUGGCGAAGGCGGUUCUCUGGGCCUGUACUGACGCUGAGGAGCGAAAGCGUGGGGAGCGAACAGG